rnacentral:rRNA from 1 species
GAGUUUGAUCCUGGCUCAGGAUGAACGCUGGCGGCGUGCCUAAUACAUGCAAGUCGAGCGAACAGAUAAGGAGCUUGCUCCUUUGAAGUUAGCGGCGGACGGGUGAGUAACACGUGGGUAACCUACCUAUAAGACUGGGAUAACUUCGGGAAACCGGAGCUAAUACCGGAUAACAUUUAGAACCGCAUGGUUCUAAAGUGAAAGAUGGUUUUGCUAUCACUUAUAGAUGGACCCGCGCCGUAUUAGCUAGUUGGUAAGGUAACGGCUUACCAAGGCGACGAUACGUAGCCGACCUGAGAGGGUGAUCGGCCACACUGGAACUGAGACACGGUCCAGACUCCUACGGGAGGCAGCAGUAGGGAAUCUUCCGCAAUGGGCGAAAGCCUGACGGAGCAACGCCGCGUGAGUGAUGAAGGGUUUCGGCUCGUAAAACUCUGUUAUUAGGGAAGAACAAAUGUGUAAGUAACUGUGCACAUCUUGACGGUACCUAAUCAGAAAGCCACGGCUAACU